CGAGUUUGGACCAGACAAUCCAGUGAUCAACAGCAAGAGCAUCGAUGUACUGCAGUUGGGAUACAACAUGUCAACUAAGUCUGCGAGCCUGACCAC